rnacentral:rRNA from 1 species
UACGGAGGUUCCAAGCGUUGUUCGGAAUUACUGGGCGUAAAGGGAGCGUAGGCGGACGGGUCAGUCUGAAGUGGAAUUCCGGGGCUCAACCUCGGACUUGCUUCGGAUACUGCCUGUCUUGAGUUCGCGAUAGGAAGAUGGAAUUCAGGGUGUAGCGGUGAAAUGCACAGAUAUCCUGAGGAACACCGGUGGCGAAAGCGGUCUUCUGGCGCGAAACUGACGCUGAGGCUCGAAAGCGUGGGUAGCAAACGGGAUUAGAUACCCCGGUAGUCCACGCCGUAAACGUUGUAUACUAGGUGUAGGAGGUAUCGACCCCUUCUGUGCCGCAGCUAACGCACUAAGUAUACCGCCUGGGGAGUACGCGCGCAAGCGUGAA